UGACUGUAGGUGAAAGCUUACAUCUCUUCGGAGCAUUUUACGAGGUGCUGCAUGGUUGUCGUCAGCUCGUGCCGUGAGGUGUCGGUUAAGUCCCAUAACGAGCGCAACCCUACCUUUAGUUGCCAUCAGGUAAUGCUGGGGACUCUAAAGGAACUGCCUACGCAAGUAGUGAGGAAGCGGGGAUGACGUCAAAUCAGCACGGCCCUUACGUCCAGGGCUACACACGUGCUACAAUGGCCGAUACAGAGGGCAGCUACCUGGUGACAGGAUGCAAAUCUCCAAAGUCGGUCUCAGUUCGGAUCGGAGUCUGCAACCCGACUCCGUGAAGUUGGAUUCGCUAGUAAUCGCGCAUCAGCCAUGGCGCGGUGAAUACGUUCCCGGGCCUU
rnacentral:rRNA from 1 species